UAUAUUUGAACUUCAAAAUUAUGAAAACAAUUACAACAAAUACUUGGUGGUGGAGCAACUUACGAAAAACAACGUGAGCGAAACACCUAUAGUAUAACAUAUACAAAAAGGCUUGUC
rfam:Aequorivita sublithincola DSM 14238, complete genome.